CAUUUAUGUGUAUAAUUAUAUACAUUUAAAUGUCUUAACCUUAAGUUAAGUUGGUUAAUGAUAAUUGGUUUAUCAUUUCCAGCAAGUAAAAGAUACAAGAUGGCUGUCCCAGCACCAGGCCAUUGAGGUAUUGCAGCGAAACCUCGCAGCUGUGCUUGCCACAUUAGCUGAGGAAGUUGAAGUGAAACGAUGCCCAGUGGCCAAGGGACUGUACACCUUUUGUGCCACUUACAGAUUUGUGGCAUCAUUAUAUCUGCAGGCAGAUGUACUGCCACAUCUUGCCCGUUUGUCCAAGAUUUUUCAGAAGGCAAAUGUGAACUUCCUGCACAUAAAGGAACAGGUUCCCAUCACAAUUGAAACCUUGAGACGCAUCAAGGAUGCCGGCACUUCUCCCCCACAUGGGUCUUUCCUAUCCUGUCUCCAUAGAGAUCUGGAUGACCCCUCAGGACUUGGAGCCCAGUCCAUACAUCAUGAGGAGGAGAGGAACAGGAGAGGACAAAGUCUUGACGACGUACCACGAGAGCAACAGUGGUCAAGAUUUGUGGCAGAUGUUGCCAGUCCUUACAUCAGUGGCCUGAUUCAUCACCUGGAGUGCAGGUUCGAGAAUCUGAAUCUUCUUGGGGCCUUCAGUGUGUUGGGACCACAGGCAACUUCACAAAGUGAUGAGCAGAAUAAUGCCCACCGACAAGAGCCAGGCUGACAUACUGAGACUCCUAGCAAGUGAGUGCGACGAAUGGGGGCUGAUAUACCCAUUACUCAGCCGCUUAGCAGCCAUUGCCCUUGUUGUGCCGGUGUCAAGCGUGAAUUGUGAAAGAGACUUUUCCACAAUGAACAGGGUCAAAACAGACCUCCGUAACAGACUUCAGGGAGAGCACCUGGCUGCCUGUUUGAGGAUCUCUAUUAACGGGCCAGAACCUGAAGACUUAAAUUACCAAAGGGCACUGGAACUGUUUUUCUCAAAGCCAAGAAAAAUGAAAUGUUCUAGCGCAGGGUGUCAUAUCUGUAAAUAGGGUGGUUGCUAUCUGUAAUAUGAAUAAAUACGCCAAG